CACGUAGGGCGCGAGCGUUGUCCGGAAUUAUUGGGCGUAAAGAGCUCGUAGGCGGCCUGUUGCGUCCGCUGUGAAAGCCCCGGGGCUUAACCCCCGGGGUCGGCAGUGGAUACGGGGCAGGCUAGAGGUAGGUAGGGGGAGAAUGGAAUUCCCGGUGUAGCGGUGAAAUGCGCAGAUAUCGGGAGGAACACCGGUGGCGAAGGCGGUUCUCUGGGCCUUACCUGACGCUGAGGAGCGAAAGCGUGGGGAGCGAACAGG
rnacentral:rRNA from 1 species